rnacentral:rRNA from 1 species
GAUGAACGCUGGCGGCGUGCCUAAUACAUGCAAGUCGAGCGAACAGACGAGGAGCUUGCUCCUCUGACGUUAGCGGCGGACGGGUGAGUAACACGUGGAUAACCUACCUAUAAGACUGGGAUAACUUCGGGAAACCGGAGCUAAUACCGGAUAAUAUAUUGAACCGCAUGGUUCAUUAGUGAAAGACGGUUUUGCCGUCACUUAUAGAUGGAUCCGCGCCGCAUUAGCUAGUUGGUAAGGUAACGGCUUACCAAGGCAACGAUGCGUAGCCGACCUGAGAGGGUGAUCGGCCACACUGGAACUGAGACACGGUCCAGACUCCUACGGGAGGCAGCAGUAGGGAAUCUUCCGCAAUGGGCGAAAGCCUGACGGAGCAACGCCGCGUGAGUGAUGAAGGUCUUCGGAUCGUAAAACUCUGUUAUUAGGGAAGAACAAAUGUGUAAGUAACUAUGCACGUCUUGACGGUACCUAAUCAGAAAGCCACGGCUAACUACGUG